UAGCACAUACUAUCUUGUAUAUUAUCUGUUAUUUAGCCUAGAUAAGAUACUUAAAUAUUUAAAACAAGUUUAAACUAGUUUAAGGAUAAUAAAAAACAGUAUAAAAGUUCAAUGAUUUUCUCUGAAACAUUUAUUCUGUUAGUUAAAUAUUGCAGUUUCAAGAUUACGGUUUAAAAUGAAGUGUUUCUUCUCAUUGCUUGUUUUGUUUUCAACAUUGAGUGCAAUACUCUGUAUAUGUGCACCCAGGGUAAAAAGUUUAAAUGACUGUAGAGAAGUGUGCCAACGAGUAGUUGGUUGUUAUGGGUUCAAUUACGUUUCAGCUAACAAACUUUGCUUUUUAAAGGAUAAACCAUGGAAUUGGCGUCCCAUUUAUUCAUUAGGGUCGUUUUCUGGCUUUGCAGCAUUUAAUCAAACAUAUGAAAACACAGAUUUUAAUCAAGGAGACAUGAAUGACUGCAAUGUAAAUCACAAACGAACGGUCAAAGAUAAAAAAUAUGUCAAUCUCUCAAACAAAAAUUAACAUUUUGUUUUAUAUUUUUAUAUUAUUUUUGUAAAACAGUUCAAAAAAAUCUAAAAUAAUAAAA
rnacentral:lncRNA from 1 species